CGACUGAGUGGCGGACGGGUGAGUAACGCGUAGGCAACCUGCCCCAUACAGGGGGAUAACAGUCAGAAAUGACUGCUAACACCGCAUAAGCGCACAGGGCCGCAUGGCCCGGUGUGAAAAACUCCGGUGGUAUGGGAUGGGCCCGCGGCCUGUUAGCUAGUCGGCGGGGUAACGGCCCACCGAGGCGAUUAUGGGUAGCCGGGUUGAGAGACCGACCGGCCAGAUUGGGACUGAGACACGGCCCAGACUCCUACGGGAGGCAGCAG
rnacentral:rRNA from 1 species